UACAGAGGUCUCAAGCGUUGUUCGGAUUCAUUGGGCGUAAAGGGUGUGUAGGUGGCGCGCUAAGUCGGGUGUGAAAUUUCGGAGCUUAACUCCGAAACUGCAUUCGAUACUGGCGUGCUUGAGGACUGGAGAGGAGACUGGAAUUCAUGGUGUAGCAGUGAAAUGCGUAGAGAUCAUGAGGAAGACUAGUGGCGAAGGCGGGUCUCUGGACAGUUCCUGACACUGAGGCACGAAGGCCAGGGGAGCAAACGGG
rnacentral:rRNA from 1 species